rnacentral:rRNA from 1 species
UGGGGGAUAUUGCACAAUGGGCGAAAGCCUGAUGCAGCGACGCCGCGUGAGGGAAGACGGUUUUCGGAUUGUAAACCUCUGUCGAGGGGGACGAAGGAAGUGACGGUACCCCUUGAGGAAGCCACGGCUAACUACGUGCCAGCAGCCGCGGUAAUACGUAGGUGGCAAGCGUUGUCCGGAAUUACUGGGUGUAAAGGGAGCGUAGGCGGGAAUGCAAGUUGAAUGUAUAAACGGUCGGCUCAACCGGCCGAAGCGUUCAAAACUGCAGUUCUUGAGUGGAGUAGAGGCAGGCGGAAUUCCUAGUGUAGCGGUGAAAUGCGUAGAUAUUAGGAGGAACACCAGUGGCGAAGGCGGCCUGCUGGGCUUUAACUGACGCUGAGGCUCGAAAGCGUGGGUAGCAAACA